GGGGUUAACUGUUAAGAUUUAGACUACAUGGAACUUAGCUUUCUUCAUACCUGUUUAAAACACUGAUGCGACAUUUGAAGCUAAGGUGUGGUGGUGUAUGUCUGUAAUCCCAGCACUAGGGAUGCAAAGGGAUGACCUGUUAUCCCUUCUCAGUCAAGACAAGUCAUCCUUUCAGGAUUCUCCCCACUCCACAGUUAAGUAUCUUUUGGUCCUGCAAAUUUUCAGACCCUGGUUUCUCCCCGCAAGCUUAUAAUUGAUUGCGGCUGACUUUAUUGAGCUCUGCAUCUGGGUUGAGAUCAAACCACCUUUCUCUCAUACAUCACUUCAACAGUGCAUCAAAUGGAUUUCAUGCUGCAGCGGCUUCUGUAGGGCGGGAAGAGCAGCUGUGGCAUUAUUACAAAUCAAGAAGCUGAAUGUAAAUGCCGUCAGAGAACCCACUGAACUAACACAGUCAGCACCAGAUCCCAGAGAGCCAGCCGGCUAUGCGAAGCCUCUUCGCUGGCCAUCGAUUCGGAAAGAAAAAGGUGAAUGGAGAGCCAUAUUCCUCUUUCUCUACUUCCUGGCCGUGGAUGUUACAACCUAAGAUUCUGCCACACUUGCAAGCAGCAGAGUGGUUCUGCACCAACACGGACAGCACCGCAUCACGGCAACGCUCCGCAAUCCAUCACAUGAUCUUCUCUGGAGCCAAAUGAUUUGCAGAUCCAGCCGUGAUUUUUGAACCAGAUCUGGGCAGCCAUUAUCCUACUUGUCGAUAAAAGGCCAUUCCAAGUCCCACAGCUCCUCUAGCUCCUGGUCAUCCUGACUUCCUGUUCUCACCGACACCGUAGACACUGAUUUCAAAUACAGUCGUGAACUCGUCACUUCGCUGCUUAAACACUUUCCGUGGCUGACCCGAACGGAGUGGAAGAGUUCCGGCACCCAGCGCGUCCUCAGAAUCCUUCAGGAGUUUCUCCUACACACCUCUAAGGCUCAGUUCUUGCUGUUCAGGGCACUCCGUGCCCUAUGAAUAAACUUGGUAUCAUUC